rnacentral:rRNA from 1 species
GACGAACGCUGGCGGCGUGCUUAACACAUGCAAGUCGAACGGAAAGGCCCUGCUUUUGUGGGGUGCUCGAGUGGCGAACGGGUGAGUAACACGUGAGUAACCUGCCCUUGACUUUGGGAUAACUUCAGGAAACUGGGGCUAAUACCGGAUAGGAGCUCCUGCGGCAUGGUGGGGGUUGGAAAGUUUCGGCGGUUGGGGAUGGACUCGCGGCUUAUCAGCUUGUUGGUGGGGUAGUGGCUUACCAAGGCUUUGACGGGUAGCCGGCCUGAGAGGGUGACCGGCCACAUUGGGACUGAGAUACGUCCCAGACUCCUACUGGAGGCAGCAGUGUCGAAUAUUUCACAAUGGGCGGAAGCCUGAUGCAGCAACGCCGCGUGCGGGAUGACGGCCUUCGGGUUGUAAACCGCUUUCGCCUGUGACGAAGCGUGAGUGACGGUAAUGGGUAAAGAAGCACCGGCUAACUACGUG